AGUCGAGCGGUAGAAGGAGCUUGCUUCUUUGAGACCGGCGAACGGGUGCGUAACGCGUAUGCAAUCUACCUUGUACUGGAAGAUAGCCCAGAGAAAUUUGGAUUAAUAUUCCAUAGUAUUAUGAUAAGGCAUCUUAUUAUAAUUAAAGAUUACGGUACAAGAUGAGCAUGCGUCCCAUUAGCUAGUUGGUAUGGUAACGGCAUACCAAGGCUACGAUGGGUAGGGGUCCUGAGAGGGAGAUCCCCCACACUGGUACUGAGACACGGACCAGACUCCUACGGGAGGCGGCAGUGAGGAAUAUUGGGCAAUGCUCGCAAGAGUGACCCAGCCAUGCCGCGUGCAGGAAGACGGUCCUAUGGAUAGUAAACUGCUUUUAUACGGGAAGAAACCCUCCUUCGUGAAGGAGCUUGACGGUACCGUAUGAAUAAGCAUCGGCUAACUCCGUGCCAGCAGCCGCGGUAAUACGGAGGAUGCAAGCGUUAUCCGGAAUCAUUGGGUUUAAAGGGUCCGUAGGCGGCCUGAUAAGUCAGUGGUGAAAUCUCCUAGCUCAACUAGGAAACUGCCAUUGAUACUG
rnacentral:rRNA from 1 species